ensembl:lncRNA
UAAAAUGAAUACAGUAAAAGAGAAAAUAGAAUUAAAAAAUUUGGUUAGUUUUAUAAAUAAUUUUAUAAAAAAUAAGUAUAUAGUUGGAACAAUGGAUUUGUUUAAAUAUGAAAUGAUAUAUAAAUAUUAUGGGAAACAAGAUUAUUUAUAUAUUAAUAAAACAAAAAUUGAUUGUAUGUUCAUACCAUGUAAACAGUUUUUAAAUGAUAAAAUGAAAGAAUAUAUUAAUAUAAAAAAAAAUGGUAAUAAACAUAUAAAUGUAGAAAAGAACAAAUCGAAUAGAUAUGAUAUUUUUUUAAAAGCUUUUAACAACGAGUUUUAUAAUUAUAUCUAUUACAAUGAUGACUAUUUAUAUAAUAUACCUCUAGUGCUCUACUUCAAUGCAAACGGUGCAUUUUAUGAAUUAUAUGCUUGCUAUUCUAGUGCAUUAAGUUUUUAUUUGGAAAAUAAUAUUAAUGUGUUUGUUUAUAAUUAUAGAGGAUAUAGUAAAUCUAAUGGAUAUCCUAAUAUUAAUCGAAAUAAUUUAGACGCGUUAAAAAUAGCCGAAUUUUUAUUAUCAAAAAAGGUUAAACAUUUAGGAUUACAUGGGACUUCUAUUGGAGGCCCUUUAUGUUCGUACGUAUCUUACCAUUUAUGUAAUUUUAAUAAAAAAGAAACUAAUGAUAAUGAUAAUAAUAAUAGCGACAACUUAGGUAACAAUAGUAACAAUAAUUAUAAACGAGAAAUUAUAGAUAAAUUGUAUAAAAACGAAAAUUAUGUGAAAAUGAUAUAUAAACAAAUGAAUAGGACUAUAAAAUUAAUAAAUAAAAAAAAAGAUACAAUUAUAAACAUUUUUUUAGUACCAUUUAAGUUUAUAGUAUUACUGUUACAUUAUAUUAUAUUACUCAAAUUAAAAUUAUCAAUUUUUAUAAUAAAAAAAAAAAUCCAAUCUCUCAAUAAUGUACAAAAGAAGGAAUUGAUUUGUAGUAAUAAAAUUGGUGUUACAGAUAUUGUUGAUAAAAAUAGUGCGAACAUUACAUCAAAACAAUCCAGAAUAUCUUUUGUAUGUAUUGAUAAAUCGUUUUAUAAUUUUGAAGAGGUAGUAAAAUAUGCGGUUGGACAAUUUGCUUAUAAUAUAUUACAGUUUACAUCCUACAAAUUAGACAUAACAAAAUAUUAUAUAAAUUCCAAUAUUCCUAAAAUUAUUAUUUAUGACAAUCAUGAUGAAAUAAUUCAUUAUAUGUCUAAUGUUAUUACAGGUGUGUCAAAAGAAAUAUGUAAGUUGUAUAAAACUGACAAUAGUCACUUUAAUUCGAAUAAGAAAAAAGAAGAAAGUGAUAAGAUUAGUGGAGGUGACAGAAAUAUAGAUAAUAUAAUAUAUAAAGAAGAAAUGGAUGAAAAUAGGAACGAUUAUUUACCAUUGUUUGUGAAUAGUUCCAACAGUUACGAUAGUGACACAUUUGAAAAUGAUUUCAAAGAUACUGAACUUGGAAACGAUGAAAACAGCUCAAAAUCAAUAAAAAUGUCAACAUGUAAACCUGAUUUCGUUGAAACGUUAAUUGUAGAUGAAAAGGUAGACAGUUUGUGGGUUGAAAAUAAAUUAAAAAUGAUAGAUUUACGAUUAUUUUUACAAAGUUGGAAAGUAUUGAAUGAUUAUAUCUCAUAUUUAAAUAAUUUUUCCACAACGAAUAAUUCUUUUAUUUCUAUUGGACUUGAAACUUAUAAAUCUAUUAUGUCUGUUUAUAAAUCCAAAGAAAAUAAAUUAGAAAAAGAAACACACAAUGCUAUUUAUUGUAUAUAUGGUGAUAAUGUGUCUUUAAUUAAUGACUUUAAAAAAGUAAGUUCGAAUUAUGAAGAUUUUAAUAAGAAGGAAUGUGUACAUAAUGCUAAAAAUUUAAAAAAAAACAAUAUUUGUGAUAUGUUAAAAGAAAAUGAAGAGUUUAAAAACGAAAUGGAAAAAUUAAAUAAAAUUUUAAGAGAUUUAUAUAUGUCCAAAAGAAAAGAUAUUGAAAAAGUUCAUUUUACUUAUAGUGGUUUUUUUUUAAAAGGUGAUUAUUUAUAUGAUUAUAUAAAUACUGAAAACAUAAAUGAUAAUGAACCAGCAUUUAAUAUCGAAAAAAUAGAUAUAAUGAACUUUUUAAAUGAGUUUAGUGAUCCUAUAAACAAACUUGUCCAUUUGAUUAAUAAUAAUUUAAAUUCAGGUGGACAAUUAUUUAAAGAGUUAAAUCAAGUUUCAGAAAACGAAAAACCUAAUUUUUUAAAAUCUUUUAUUGCAAGAAUGAAAGUAUUUGGUUCUUAUCCAUCUCAGAAUUUUGUUUCUUCAAACAAUACUGAUUUUCUUAAUCCAUUUGAUCAAAUUCCGUUUAUUCUGUCAAAUACUUUUAGUACAAGUACCGAUAAUGACAAUGUGUCAUAUAAAAACAAGAUCGAUUUAAGUAUGGGUAGUAUAUCUCUGGAAGGUUUUAACAAUGAUUCUGGUUUAAGUGGCGGGUAUGAGUGGAGUGGUUCAAGCAAACAAGUAAAACUGGCCAAGUUAGCCGAGUUAGUUCAGUUAGUUGAGCAAGUCGAGUCAGCAGAACCAGCUGAACUAGAUGAACCCACCGAGUCAUCCAAACUUACCGAGUCAUCCAAACUUACCGAGUCAUCNNNNNNNNNNUUACCGAGUCAUCCAAACUUACCGAGUCAUCCAAACUUACCGAGUCACCCAAACCAACGGAGUCACUCAAACCAACGGAGUCAUCCGCACUAAUCGACAAAACUGGUGAAGCAAAACAAAACAAUACGAACGAAAACAUCAGAAGUGAUGAUUCCUCCAUUAUCCAUAAAUACGAAUCACCUAUCGUUAAACGUUACAUUACAAUAAAUAAAUCAAUGUUAUUACA